rnacentral:rRNA from 1 species
CAAAGUAGGCAAAUCCGCUUUGAUAAUGCUGGGAUGUGAUGGGGAGCGAAAUUUAGUAGCGAAGUAGCUGAUUUCACACUGUCAAGAAAAGUCUCUAUCGAGGUUAAAGGUACCCGUACCGCAAACCGACACAGGUGGGUGAGGAGAGUAUCCUAAGGCCAGCGAGAGAACUGUUGUUAAGGAACUCGGCAAAAUGACCCCGUAACUUAGGGAUAAGGGGUGCCACCAUCAGGUGGCCGCAGAGAAUAGGCCCAAGCGACUGUUUACCAAAAACAUAGGUUUCUGCUAAGUCGCAAGACGAUGUAUAGGAGCUGACGCCUGCCCGGUGCUGGAAGGUUAAGGGGAUCUGUUAGAGCAAUCGAAGCAGUGAACUUAAGCCCCAGUAAACGGCGGCCGUAACUAUAACGGUCCUAAGGUAGCGAAAUUCCUUGUCGGGUAAGUUCCGACCCGCACGAAAGGCGUAACGAUUUGGGCACUGUCUCAACAACAGACUCGGUGAAAUUGUAAUUCCGGUGAAGAUGCCGGAUACCUGCGACAGGACGGAAAGACCCCAUGGAGCUUUACUGUAGCUUGACAUUGGGUCUUGGUACUACAUGUACAGGAUAGGUGGGAGGCUUUGAAACCAGGACGCCAGUUUUGGCGGAGCCAUCCUUGGGAUACCACCCUUGUAGUACUGGGACUCUAACCAUAGGCCAUGAAUCUGGUCUUGGGACACUGUCAGGUGGGCAGUUUGACUGGGGCGGUCGCCUCCCAAAAGGUAACGGAGGCGCUCAAAGGUUCUCUCAGUACGGUCGGAAAUCGUACGUAGAGUGUAAAGGCAAAAGAGAGCUUGAUUGCAAGACAUACAGGUCGAGCAAGGAUGAAAAUCGGACUUAGUGAUCCGGUGGUUCUGCGUGGAAGGGCCAUCGCUCAACGGAUAAAAGCUACCCUGGGGAUAACAGGCUUAUCUCCCCCAAGAGUCCACAUCGACGGGGAGGUUUGGCACCUCGAUGUCGGCUCAUCACAUCCUGGGGCUGUAGUAGGUCCCAAGGGUUGGGCUGUUCGCCCAUUAAAGUGGUACGCGAGCUGGGUUCAGAACGUCGUGAGACAGUUCGGUCCCUAUCCGUCGCAGGCGUAGGAAAUUUGAGAAGACCUGUCCUUAGUACGAGAGGACCGGGAUGGACGUACCUCUGGUGUACCAGUUGUCCUGCCAAGGGCAUGGCUGGGUAGCUAUGUACGGAAUGGAUAAGCGCUGAAAGCAUCUAAGCGCGAAGCCAACUUCAAGAUAAGAUUUCCCACCGCAAGGGUAAGACCCCAGAAAGACUAUCUGGUUGAUAGGUCGAAGGUGUAAGUGCAGCAAUGUAUUUAGCUUAUCGAUACUAAUAGGUCGAGGACUUGACC